rnacentral:rRNA from 1 species
CAGCACCUCAGGUGGUCAGGAUGAUUAUUGGGCCUAAAGCAUCCGUAGCCGGCGCUGUAAGUUUUCGGUUAAAUCUGUACGCUCAACGUACAGGCUGCCGGGAAUACUGCAGCGCUAGGGAGUGGGAGAGGUAGACGGUACUCGGUAGGAAGGGGUAAAAUCCUUUGAUCUAUUGAUGACCACCUGUGGCGAAGGCGGUCUACCAGAACACGUCCGACGGUGAUGGAUGAAAGCUGGGGGAGCAAACCGGAUUAGAUACCCGAGUAGUCC